CUUUUUAGAGAUGGCUGCCUGUUCUAGAAAAUGUGAAGCCAGGCGGUGAGCUAUUGGGGAUUGACGGAUUGUGCCGUGUGAGCAGUAAGGCUGAGCGUUUAUAUAUUCAACUUUCUGAACCACCAUGGAUUACCUGGCAAUGUGGCUGAGGACCUGGACGACCCCAUACAUCCCCAAGAUCCUGUCCAAGGUGCAGAUGACAGAGGGAAACAAAAAUGGGCAGAAAUCAUUACCAAUUACUUUUCCUAAUCCUCUCGGGGCAGAGAGUGGAGCUCAGUUGAGGACUGUCCUGCAGAGUGCCAUUGGCCACCUUUUUGAAAAAAAAAAAAAUAAUUUCAAUGUAUGGAAUUCUGUUCAUGAUGCCUGCAAAACUGCAUGGACAAUAAUGUUUAGCAUUUGUUUUCCAACAUGACAAAGUUUAUUUUGCAAAAA